rnacentral:lncRNA from 1 species
UUAAUUACAACAAGAUUUACAAAAAUAGGAACUUGAGAGAAAGGAGCCUGGUGUCGAGCCUCGGCAUCCAAUAAGGCUGUUGUAAUUCCUUUUAAAUUUAAAGGCACCUGGCUGGUGGUGAUAAUAGACGCAAGGUGAGCGAACUUAGGUGAAAGGCCGUUAAUAAUCGUGUACUUAGCUAGCCUAUAUAAAGGAUUCUUCAUUGUUCAUUAGGGACACAAUUGUUGUAAUUAAUAAAGUUUUCAAUUUUAG